GGUUAAGCGACUAAGCGUACACGGUGGAUGCCCUGGCAGUCAGAGGCGAUGAAGGACGUGCUAAUCUGCGAUAAGCGUCGGUAAGGUGAUAUGAACCGUUAUAACCGGCGAUUUCCGAAUGGGGAAACCCAGUGUGAUUCGUCACACUAUCAUUAACUGAAUCCAUAGGUUAAUGAGGCGAACCGGGGGAACUGAAACAUCUAAGUACCCCGAGGAAAAGAAAUCAACCGAGAUUCCCCCAGUAGCGGCGAGCGAACGGGGAGCAGCCCAGAGCCUGAAUUAGUGUGUGUGUUAGUGGAAGCGUCUGGAAAGGCGCGCGAUACAGGGUGACAGCCCCGUACACAAAAAUGCACAUACUGUGAGCUCGAUGAGUAGGGCGGGACACGUGGUA
rnacentral:rRNA from 1 species